rnacentral:rRNA from 1 species
GAUGAACGCUGGCGGCGUGCUUAACACAUGCAAGUCGAACGGAAAGGCCCAAGCUUGCUUGGGUACUCGAGUGGCGAACGGGUGAGUAACACGUGGGUGAUCUGCCCUGCACUUCGGGAUAAGCCUGGGAAACUGGGUCUAAUACCGGAUAGGACCACAUUUUGGAUGGUGUGGUGGAAAGUUUUUCGGUGUGGGAUGAGCUCGCGGCCUAUCAGCUUGUUGGUGGGGUAAUGGCCUACCAAGGCGUCGACGGGUAGCCGGCCUGAGAGGGUGUACGGCCACAGUGGGACUGAGAUACGGCCCAGACUCCUACGGGAGGCAGCAGUGGGGAAUAUUGCACAAUGGGCGCAAGCCUGAUGCAGCGACGCCGCGUGGGGGAUGACGGCCUUCGGGUUGUAAACUCCUUUCGCUAGGGACGAAGCGUUAUGUGACGGUACCUGGAGAAGAAGCACCGGCUAACUACGUG